rnacentral:lncRNA from 1 species
CACAACUAAAGAAAAGUAGGAAUGCUUUACAAAUUGUGUGCCUGUAAUUUUCCAAAUUCAGUGGAGAAAUAGGAAUUACAUAUUUAAAAUUAAAAGUCUGCUCAAAGAUCCCAGGAUAGCAGCAUUUGAUUCUGCCACAGCUCCUAAAUGGACCUAAAAUUUCACAGCUAGAAAGGAUAACAGAAAGUUUUUUAAAAGGUGAACUGGGACAUGAAUAAUUAUACCUAGGCAAUAAUUUACAAAAUAGAAAAGUCUCAAAAUAUAUUGAUGCAAAACAACAUGCCAUUAGACUAUUUUUUCUUUUUGAUAAUACUUUGUGUCUUAUGUUUUUAUCUCAAGGCCAGAAGCUUCCUUCAGUACCUGCUAUAUACAAAACACAGUAGUGGAGGCUGUAGUCACUACAAACAUUGGCUGUACAGGAAGCAUGGCUGGGAGGUCUCAGGAAACUUACAAUCAGGGAGGAAGGUGAAGAAGCAGCCUGUAUGUCUUACAUGGCCAGCACAGGAGGAAGAGCGCUACACACCUUGAAACCACCAGAUCUCGCCAUAACUCACUAUCAUGAGAACGGUGCAAAAAGGGAAAUCCACAUCCGUGUUUCAAUCAGCUCCCACCGGGCCCCACCUCCAACACUGGGUAUUACAAUUUAACAUUUUGGCAGGGACACAGACCCAAAUCAUAUCAAUAGCAAAGAAAAUUCUGCUUUGUUUUGUACAUUCGGCAAAAAUAUUCUCAACACUCUCCCAUUGGAAUUUUACACAAGGUAAUGCAGUGACAUACAGCUUAGACAGUUAGAAGUGAUAAGUGCAAUUUUUGGCAAAAUUUUAAGAUAAAAUUAUAGAGAAAAAUGACUAAACUUUCCAUGUGGAUUUAACAUGAGAAUCCCUUUUUAGCCACUGAUUCUGAUCAAUUGAGAACUUGAGUUCCUGUUUAAUCUGAUAAGCUGAGCAAGGCAUUUUUCUAUUUCAGGGUCAUACUUGUUCUAAAUAAUGGAAAGUUGCCUGUGUAAUA